ACCAAAUAAUAUGUAAUGAAAAAAAAGUCAAGCAAUUGCUCACGCUACUCUCUAUAAAUAAAAAUACAAGAUAGAGAAUUGGGGAAUGGAAAUAUAAAAUAACCGACAGCAAAACUCCCCUUUUUCGUUUUCUUUCAUCCCUCCUCUUCUUCCUCACAUCAUCAUAUUUGGACGUGACCAUACCUUUUCACUGAGAAAUUUGCUGGAUUGGGUUGAUCUCACUAUGCCAUAUAUAUAAUAGCUAGCGUCUUUUCAAAUUUCUUUUUUUUUUUUUCAAUUACUUUGUGGAUCAUUUACAUUGUAAUAAGCAUCAAAUUUAUUACAUGAUGAAUUCAAUUAAAAGAAUAUCACGUUCUUCGUACUCGUUUGUUCCAUUUUACUUGUCACAAUUUUUUUCAUUGUAUUUCUACUUUUAUUUAUCAUUUUUGACAUAUCAAGAAAAGAUAAUUUUUUUUUUUUUUUUUUUAUCCUUAGUAUUAAUUAUUUUUUUAAAUUAAAAUAUAAACAUCAUUUAAUAGAGUAACUACGAUAAAAUAAUUAUGCUAUUAAUUAGUCUUCUUAAUUAAUAUAUUAAAUUAAAUUGUGACAAUUGUAAUUGAAACGACUGGGGUACAUCGAAUUCACUUAGCAAUUACAAAAAGCAUAAUGGGCUGGCUAAAUGACUUUUGGCCUUUCAGAUGAAAGAUAAAUGGAUUGUUCUAGGGCUUUUUAUUUUAUAUCUGAUAAGCCCAAAAAUCUGCAAAUUUCAUCUUAUAUCCGUAAAUCAGUAGAUUUGGGCAAAAAACAGUUGCAAUCUUUUUUUUUUUUUUUUCUUACAGUAGAAAAGUAGGAUUUCUCUGUAUUUUCGGAUGAGGUAUUUUUGACAGAUGUUGUCUUCAGCAAAACCCGCUACUCUUCUUGAUUUGGUCAUCGUUAUCUAUUUUUCUCCUCGCUUGUCAUCUUCCCUAUUCUUCUCAGUUGUUGGCACUUUUUCCUCUCAACUUGCGACAAAGAAGAUUUAGGAGACUGAGUAGGUGGAGUCAAAUCACAUUUUGCUAUUUACUGGUCAAGGCAGAAAGAAAAAGGAAGCUCGGUUUGCCACCAGAAGAUCCCGCUUCCCCCAAACCUUCUACUGCACCUGUUGUGGAGGAAAAAAAGAUGUUUAUUUAUUCAAAAACUCUGUUUAUAGAUUUGUCCGAUUCAGACAUAUAUUGUCCAACUCAAACUUUUUGUAUGUAUUUUUGUUAGAGCUCAUUUUUGCCUGUCAGACCAGCUACAAAGGCAGAGCGGAUGAGAGAGUGCCUGCGAACUCUUAAACGGACCCACAAGGAUGAUGAUGCCAAAGUCAAGACUGCUUUCAACACGCUGCCAACUUAUGCAAAGAAUGUCGCUACAAAUCCCAAUGAGAAGAAAUUUCGCAAGAUUAGACUUUUAGUAAUGCUGCUUUUCAGGGCCACAAGAAAUGGAUAACUGGUAUUUCUUGGGAACCUGUACACCUCAGUGCUCCAUGUCGCCGAUUUGUAAGUGCAAGUAAAGAUGGUGAUGCACGGAUAUGGGAUGUUACCACAAGGAAGUGUCUCAUUUGCCUCACUGACCAUACACUUGCAAUAACAUGUGUAAAAUGGGGCGGAGAUGGAGUUAUAUACACUGGAUCUCAGGACUGUACAAUCAAGGUAUGGGAAACCACGCAAAGGAAGCUAAUUCGUGAAUUGAAGGUCACAUAAACAAUCAGUAUCAUACUUGCUUCUGGAUGCUUGUUAAGUCUGCAAAGAGCAUAACUGAAGCUCAGAGCUACCGAAAGAUCUUGCAGCUUUUGAGAAGAGCACAAAAUUUCAUUGAAUAAUCUAUAGUACUUGACUCCACAAUUGUGCAACAAGGGUAGAUUUGGAAUUUCACAAUUGAGAAAAGAAGCCACCUUGAUCGACUUUUAGAAACAAUAAUUUGGAGGUUAGACCUGGUGAGAACAUUGCUAUAAGGGCGGAGGUGGGCUUAUGAAAGUCAAACUCUUCUGGCAGUAAUUAAUUCUUGGAGAGGUUCCAUGUAUCGAAGGAACUGUACGUUCAUAAUUUACUUCAUCUCUAUCAAUGUAAAUAUCCAACAAUCACUAUCAUAUGUAAAUGUGAGCAUCCAAUCAAAUGAGAGUCUCUUGCUGUUACAUCUUCAUUUUAUUCUACUAUACGCGUUGUUGUACGGGCAUACCUAUGUAGUAAAUAACAUAAAUACCAAUCCUUUUGGAAGUAAUUACACUCUCUUUCACUUUUUUAA